GACGAACGCUGGCGGCGUACUUAACACAUGCAAGUCGAACGGUAAGGCCCUUCGGGGUACACGAGUGGCGAACGGGUGAGUAACACGUGGGUGAUCUGCCCUGCACUUCGGGAUAAGCCUGGGAAACUGGGUCUAAUACCGGAUAGGACUCCGGACUGCAUGGUCUGGGGUGGAAAGCUUUUGCGGUGUGGGAUGGGCCCGCGGCCUAUCAGCUUGUUGGUGGGGUGAUGGCCUACCAAGGGGACGACGGGUAGCCGGCCUGGGAGGGUGACCGGCCACACUGGGACUGAGAUACGGCCCAGACUCCUACGGGAGGCAGCAGUGGGGAAUAUUGCACAAUGGGCGCAAGCCUGAUGCAGCGACGCCGCGUGAGGGAUGACGGCCUUCGGGUUGUAAACCUCUUUCAGCAUCGACGAAGCGAAAGUGACGGUAGGUGCAGAAGAAGGACCGGCCAACUACGUGCCAGCCGCCGCCGUAA
rnacentral:rRNA from 1 species